GCCCCCGUAGCUCAAUGGACAGAGCAGCAGCCUUCUAAGCUGUUGGUUGCGCGUUCGAGUCGCGCCGGGGGCGCCA
rnacentral:tRNA from 1 species